AAAAAAAAAAAUGGUCGCAGUCGCGGUUCGUCCCCGCUAGAGUAACGAGCGGGGCCAUGGAAACUGUGGAGGCGACUCCAUCGUACGAAUCGAACCCUAAAAACCCUAACCCUAGCUCUCCGUCCCCGUCCCCCUCCUCCUCGCCGUCCACGUCCCCCUCCUCCUCACCGUCGCCGUCGCCAUCGCCGUCGCCGUCGCCGUCGCGGCUAUGGAGACCCGCGGCGCAGAGGAACCUCCGGAACCAGUGGCCGAAGCUCCUCGCGAGCAAGGACCGGUGGAUCUCCGCGGCGUCGCAGGGGAGGUCACACGCCACCGCCCUCGUUAACGCUUACCUCUCUCGCAAAUAUAUGCGGGACAUGGAUUUGGGCGUUCUUAAGGACAUGCCUGAGAUUUGCCAGAAGGCUUGUGAAAAAUUGAGUAAUAAGCAGAUGCUGUGUCGCGAGAAGCUUUUAUUAUCUUACAAGGAUAUGGUCCUUGCAGUUUCUGACUUGAUUAAAGUAUCUGGAUCCAUGCGGUGUUUCGUCAAUUCAUCUACGGCUAGUCCGAUUCUUCAAUUUUCUGAUCAUUCAGUAUAUAACAAUGAUUCUGGAGACGGUGGAGGAGUUCCUGUUUUCUUAUUAUUUUCUGUCUCAGAUUUUGAGAAACUAGCGCAAGAGCUUGUCGAGAUGUUUGUCUUAGAGCUAACUUUGAAGCGAUUGCUUGUGGUGGAGCUACUCUCUCUUAGCUGUGAGGAUGGCGCCGACCGAACUGAUUCUCUGGAAUGGUCAGAGGAGCUCUUCCGUGGAGAAUUUGAUCAAUUGAGAGCGACUGAGCUUCACUCUGAAGAAAGCUGUCAGCUGCUAGCUCCACAAACAAAAGAUUGGGUGUCCAGAAUUUCCGUGACUGAACUGGCAGAACAUUCUAUAAACCGUGAAAUUUUACAGGUGCAUCAUGGACAAGGCUUGUUUAGGCACUGUGGCCGACUCUACCCAAAUAUAAACCAAUUUAUUCUUUCUGGAUUUUACUAUUUUCUUUACCAUGAAUCUUACUGUUUGUUUGGUUUUGGUUACAGGUGUACUUAACCACAUGGUUUGCCAAUGUCAACUUAAAUAUGAGCAGGAUUGACGAAAUAUUUGCAAUUGUUGAAGAAGAAAUUCAAGUCAAAUUGUUGUGAAGCUCUCAAUCAGAUGGCAGAUACAUGAUAUAGGUAUCUCACGUAGAAAGCCCAUGCUUCAAUCUACAUAUACCUGCGAGCACCCUACUCAUCAAUUUUGCUGGGACGUGAUAAAAAAAAGGAGUAUCGGAUUGGGAUCUUCAAACAACAAAGAAAUUUUGGCUUAUUUAUGACCUUUUGACUUAUCUUUGUCGUCGAAAGUUGAUUUCGUGUUCAAGAUUUUGUUGCCUCUUGCUGCACAUUGGCUGCGGCUAAUUGUAAGUAGACAAAGUCAUCUGAUCCUAUAGUUCAGUCAACUGUUAAUGAUUUGUAGACCAAACUCAAAAACAUAUCUAAGUGCUUCAAAGUGGGAUUCACAGGAAGGAUCUUAUGAAUGAAAGCACCAUCAGUUUCAGUUUCA